UAUUUUAUUCUUUUUUUUUUUUCCCAUAGGAAACCAACAAAUGCAACUUCACACUUCUAAUCUGCAGGAUGAAGCAAAUGGUUAAAGGAAGUUAUGUGGUAUUAAGUGAAGUGCUUACUUAAAAGAAAAAAUGUACAGGCGUUGCAACAACUACAGUACGGUUAUUCGGCUGUCCCCUCAUAUUGCAUUCAGAGUAUCUGUGAGAGGGGGAAUGAAUCCAAGCAGGAAGAUGAUGGGAAGAAAAGGGUCUCCCAACAGCUCAGUGGGGGAUGGCAGCCUACUGAUGAAGAAAGAUUGGGAUGUGAAAUGGUCCUGUCUGUGAAAUGAGGUUCAGACAUCCUAACUCUUCUUCCAUUAUCAACUUUAGCAUUAAAUUUGAUUUUUGCAGGUAUGAACAUAAUAUUAUUCUCUGAACAGGAAAAUAAUUGAAAUGAGUGCAAAUGUAAUCCACGUUUGAAAUAACUGAGAAAGAAAUAGCAAUAUGCAUAAUAAUAAUGCUUUUCUAAUACUUUAUUCUGAUGAGUUUGUACUCAAUAGAGUAGGAUUAUAUUGGAGUAAUGAACUGCAUAUAUUUUAAAAAAUAACCUCUUCCAUUUAAAUAAAAUUAACCCCAUGGCUGCGGAGAAUGAGUGGGGCUCGUCAUCUGCAUACACCUUAUAAACUGUGGAUGUCCCACUCUUCUGCAGCAAAAUGCCCCCUGGUUACUUAGCUUUUCUCCACUGGCACAAAUCCUACUUGGGGAGUUCCCAGGAUCACUGAGUCCGUCACUUUUGAAAAAAAAAAAAAAACUUCAAUCAUAUUGCCAGAGAUGGGGUAGGGACUUCAAGUCUGUAUAUCUCCCUAACCUUGGCACCUAGGUAGAAGGGUACAUACUUGUUUGAAAGAGAAGAACCUCAUAGAGAUUACUUUUUUAUUAUUAUUAUUCCCCCUACACUUCAGAAAAAUCAUGGAUUCCAUGGAAGGGAGCCAUUCUCCCCCCCAACCUGGCUUCCGUGAAGUGAGGUCCACCCAUUUUUCAAAAGAGGGCCACCCUCUUUCAAAUGAUGUGUCCGGUUAGUACUCAUUGCCUGGUGAACACCUAUGAUCACUGC